CCCUUAGAUGCUCUGGGCCGCACGCGCGCUACACUGGUCGAUGCAACGAGUUUCUUUCCUUGGCCGACAGGCCUGGGCAAUCUUUGAACAUCGAUCGUGAUCGGGAUAGAUUCUUGUAAUUUUUGAUCUUAAACAAGGAAUUCCUAGUAAACGCAAGUCAUCAGCUUGCAUUGAUUACGUCCCUGCCCUUUGUACACACCGCCCGUCGCACCUACCGAUUGAAUGGUCCGGUGAAAUCUCCGGACUGGCGUGAGUCGGAGCAAUCUGACAAACACCGGAAAGUUGAUUAAACCUUACCAUUUAGAGGAAGGUGAANUCGUANCA
rnacentral:rRNA from 1 species